rnacentral:rRNA from 1 species
GACGAACGCUGGCGGCGUGCUUAACACAUGCAAGUCGAACGGUGAAGCGCCUUCCUUUUUGGUGGGUGUGGAUGAGUGGCGAACGGAUGAGUAACACGUGAGUAACCUGCCCCCUUCUUCUGGAUAACCGCAUGAAAGUGUGGCUAAUACGGGAUAUUCUGGGUCUGUCGCAUGAUGGGUCUGGGAAAGAUAUUGUUUCGGUGGGGGAUGGGCUCGCGGCCUAUCAGCUUGUUGGUGUGGUGAUGGCCUACCAAGGCGGUGACGGGUAGCCGGCCUGAGAGGGUGGACGGUCACACUGGGACUGAGACACGGGCCAGACUCCUACGGGAGGCAGCAGUGGGGAAUAUUGCACAAUGGGCGCAAGCCUGAUGCAGCGACGCCGCGUGAGGGAUGGAGGCCUUCGGGUUGUGAACCUCUUUCGCCAGUGAAGCAGGCCUGCCUCGUUUGUGGGUGGGUUGACGGUAGCUGGAUAAGAAGCGCCGGCUAACUACGUG